UAUUUGCAUUAGCGGUUGCAGCGGCAUCCUUUUUUUGAGGUACGAGAAAAAAGAUAUAGCGAAAAACGCGACCCGAU
rnacentral:sRNA from 1 species